rnacentral:pre_miRNA from 1 species
UCUUGUGGAUGAGCAAAGAAAGUCAUUUCCUGAACUGGAAUCUACUCCUGAUGAAGAUGCUGUGAA